rnacentral:rRNA from 1 species
CACGUAGGCGGACUCUUAAGUCAGGGGUGAAAUCCUGGAGCUCAACUCCAGAACUGCCUUUGAUACUGGGAGUCUUGAGUUCGGGAGAGGUGAGUGGAACUGCGAGUGUAGAGGUGAAAUUCGUAGAUAUCGGGAGGAACACCAGUGGCGAAGGCGGCCCCCUGGUUGGAUACUGACGCUGAGACGCGAAAGCGUGGGAGCAAACA